rnacentral:rRNA from 1 species
UACGGAGGGGGCUAGCGUUGUUCGGAAUUACUGGGCGUAAAGCGCACGUAGGCGGCUUUGUAAGUUAGAGGUGAAAGCCCGGGGCUCAACUCCGGAAUUGCCUUUAAGACUGCAUCACUAGAGGACGGUAGAGGCGUGUGGAAUUCCGGGUGUAGUGGUGAAAUGCGUAGAGAUCCGGAGGAACACCAGUGGCGAAGGCGACACGCUGGGCCGUACCUGACACUGAUGCGCGACAGCAUGGGGAGCAAACAGG